rnacentral:rRNA from 1 species
AAGAAUAUNCCUUUAGACUGGGAUAACAGAGGGAAACUUCUGAUAAUACUGGAUAAGUUAGUAUAUCGCAUGAUAUGCAAAUGAAAGCUACGGCACUAAAGGAGAGCUUUGCGUCCUAUUAGCUAGUUGGUAAGGUAAGAGCUUACCAAGGCGAUAAUAGGUAGCCGGCCUGAGAGGGUGGACGGCCACAAGGGGACUGAGAUACGGCCCAGACUCCUACGGGAGGCAGCAGCC